UACGUAGGGUGCAAGCGUUGUCCGGAAUUAUUGGGCGUAAAGCGCUCGCAGGUGGUUCGUCGCGUCGUGCGUGAAAGACCCCGGCUCAACUGGGGGGUGUCGUGCGAUACGGGCGGACUGGAGGCCAGUAGGGGGAUGCGGAAUUCCGGGUGUAGUGGUGGAAUGCGUAGAGAUCCGGAGGAACACCAGCGGCGAAGGCGGCAUCCUGGACUGGUCCUGACACUCAGGAGCGAAAGCGUGGGGAGCGAUCCGG
rnacentral:rRNA from 1 species